rnacentral:tRNA from 1 species
GCUGGAUUGGCAGAAUAGUGCAUUAAAUUUAGACUUUGAUUAAGAGGUAAUAAAACUUCAUUCAGUA